UGUUAAUUUCAGAACUGUGUUGUGUAUAGUCACAAUUGAGGCAAGGUUUUGGAGGCAGUUUCAAUUCAAGACUGCUAUGUAGUUCCAAAUCCCCCCCUCCUUUAGUUUCUUGGAGGAAAUCAUCCUUGGGAGUGGUCAAAACUUUGUAUUAGAGGUUAAGAAUCAUUGAUUAGAGGAAACGAAAACCUGUUGAGAAAUGUUAACAAUCCUUUCUACUUUUGUUUUGAUGUUUCAAAGAUAUGUUGUUGCUGAGGACACUUAAGUUUAACUGAAGUUUAAUAUCUUCCAAUGUAAUAGUUUUUAUUUAUUAUUUUUUUAUAAUACUGGAAACUGGUUAUUAGACCAUGGUAUUUAUCAUUAAUGUGCAUAUCUUUGCUGGAGCUUUUUCAUAAUGGUAAUUUCUGUAGGGUUGUAACCCUUUAGGCAUUCGAGGUUGAAGUUGGUAGUAAUGAUAAAGUGUUCCUGUUAAAGUUUGUGAAUUACUAGAUGCUGUUUCUGCGUAUGGUAUGAUCAAUUUUAUAUAAGAUCACAACUUAUCAUUGAAUAGGAUUGAAGGUUGGUGUAGUUAACAAUAAAGUGUUCCUAUUAAGGUUUGUGAACAACUAGAUGCUGUUUCUGCCUAUGGCAGAGCCAAGAUUUGAACACCUCAUUCUUAUAUUAGCUGUGAUAACAAAUGUGGAAUGGGAGCAUGUAGAUAUCUUUGAAAAUGAGGGUGAUGGGUGAUUCCAGUAUUGAAAGAAAAAUAUUUAUUUACUUAAAUAAGGCCUUCGCUCUCUUCGUUUUAAGGUACAAAUUGGGUACUUAUCUUCCAAUGUCGGGAGCUCAAUAGAGUUAAAGGUAUUUUUGCUUUCACAACUAGUUUAUACAAGAGAAUUCAUGAAGUUUUUUAUUUUUUAUUUUUGAAGUUAAAGUGAUAGAAUUUGCAAAAAAAAUAUUACUUAUUAUGAUUUUAUUUUGGUUUGUUUUACCCUGGAUAUCGUAUAAACAUAGAACAUUGGGCACAAAAUACAUAUUUACUAACACACAGUGUAUGAUGCUGACUUUCUGUUUUCUGUAUGCGUACAAUGUUUUUCCUAAUUCUACUUUUGCCAAUUGUCAUCAACUUUUAUAGAAAUGUUUUACAUAUCUUUUUUGUCUGUCUCAUUGUUUAUGAAUCUUUAACCCACAUUGCCCACUCAGAUUGCAUACAUGUUUCACCACUAUUCUAAAGUGGUUUUAGAAAAUGUUGGAUAUAGAAUUUCCAUAUGAUUGAUGGUUGCUAGUUUUGGAUUGUCCAUUUAUAAUGUUUAAACAAUAUCCAAUUUUGGAUGUAAUUUUAUU